rnacentral:rRNA from 1 species
GGGUCAGUAGGUUGGUCGUGCCACCGGUACGUACUGGUCUCACUGAUUCCUCCUUCCUGAAGAACCGUAAUGCCAUUAAUUUGGUGUUGCGGGGAAACAGGACUGUUACUUUGAAAAAAUUAGAGUGUUUAAAGCAAGCUAACGCUUGAAUACAUUAGCAUGGAAUAAUGAAAUAGGACGAUCGAUCCCAUUUUGUUGGUUUCUAGGAUUGACGUA